CAGUAGCCACGGUAAUACGAGGGGGGCAAGCGUUGUUCGGAAUUAUUGGGCGUAAAGGGCGCGUAGGCGGUUUGACAAGUCUGAUGUGAAAUCUAUGGGCUCAACCCAUAGCCUGCAUUAGAAACUGUCGGGCUUGAGUAUGGGAGAGGUGAGUGGAAUUUCCGGUGUAGCGGUGAAAUGCGUAGAUAUCGGAAGGAACACCUGUGGCGAAAGCGGCUCACUGGACCAUAACUGACGCUGAGGCGCGAAAGCUAGGGGAGCAAACAGGAUUAGAUACCCGCGUAGUCCCUGUCUCUUAUAC
rnacentral:rRNA from 1 species